rnacentral:lncRNA from 10 species
GGGAGCUUCUCAGCAUCUCCUUUUCACACUCUGCCUCUGAGCAGCUGGGAAUCCUUACCCCUCCAAUCUCCUGACUGCUCAUCUCCCUGGAGCCAGGACCCUGAAUCAGUAUUCACGGCCUGUUAGUGGCUUGCAAGGCAGAGCAGACAGAUGGACGUGCUCGGGAAGCCUAUUGAUCAGCCCUUGGUGUGACCUGCCCAGACCUGGUUCUGUUUCAAGCACUGAUCACGUGGACAAGGUAUGUGCAAGGCCCAGAAAACACCAAAGGGCAAGUGUGAGGCGCUGGAUCAAGUCCCUUGAGGAGAGCAGGGCCAGGCGGGCUCUGGCCAGAGCCCCACCCCACGCUGUCUUGGGGUGUCUCACUGGCUCACAGGAACCUCCUGGGCAGGAAAUGUCUGUGUUUGACCCUGCAGGCCUGGCCCUGGAGCUUGGACCCUGGUAGGGCCUGAAGGAAUUAGGUUGGAUUGAACUGGGUUCCAGGACCUCACAUCUCCAUUUCCCAUAGUUGGGGGGCAGGGAGGAGACCCCUGGUUCUGGAGCGUCAGAUCUGCAAGGCCUCGGACCUCUGGCUCAACACCCCCUUGAGAGGCUUCUGGCCUCCUGGCUCUGCUGGAGAAGGCAUGGCCUGUGGACCUCCUGCAUUCCCGAGGCAGGCUGCGUGGCUAGCAUUUGGAGGCUGGCAGAGACUGGCUGAUUCCUAACCAAAGAUGCUGUUGGUGUCUUCUGAUGGAAUGUGACUUUCUUUGCCUAGUAGGUGUUAUUCACAGGGAUCCUUUAGUUAAGCAAAUUUGCCUAGGCCCCCUGUUGGGUCGUAUUUUUCUUUUUUCUUUUUUUUCCUUUCUUUUUUUUUUGUUUCAGGAGUCCUUAAUUCCUCUCAGCACCAUUUGAGAUGAGCAACUACACAAGACAAAGACGAAAGGCUUUUUCAGCUCAAAAAUCCUGUGAUUCUUUGAUUCUAAGAAGAGAUUUUCUUACAAGGAGUUUGCCUAAGUGUCCACACGGCUUGUGUCUCCUCCCAGCAGCCGGCCUGCUGGUGUGUGUGCUGUGUGUGGAGAGUGGCCUUAGGCCUGUGUUGUGAGUGAUGUCUGCAGAGCAUGGGGUUGAUUUGGAAGAAGGUGUGAUCCGAAGUUGUGUUUGACCUGAGCUCCUGUCACCCCUGAAGGCAGCAGAGGAUCUCCUGUCAGUGACCCAGGAGGACAGCUUUCUGAAGGACAUUCUGCCCAUUGCACAGAGGGGCUUUUGUGAUUGGUUUGCCCAGAUGUGACUUUUUCCCCUACCUUUGAAGGCCUAGAUUGGGUUUCCCAUUUCUUGGCCCUUUGGAAAGGCCAAUGGCUCCCUGUCUGACAGGCUGCCCUGAGCAGCAGGUGCUCCAUUUAGACCCAGGCUGCCCCAAUCCCAGCUCUGAUCUGACUCUCAGCUCUGAGGCUCCAUUGAGUCCCUGGGCCUCAGGGACCCUGUUCAGGCUUUGCUGAUGGUGGCAUCAAGUGACCUCCGAGCCACCUCCACGUUGGCUCAGACUGAGGAAACUGGUGAUCUUGUCUUGCUGUUUGCAAUACUUGAAGACAAAAACAGAACUUGUGCUGCAUUCUCAAGAAAGAAGAGACAACUGUUCCUGUACCUCACUCUUGUAGAUAUCUGUAUGAAGAAGCAGUGAUGGGUGCAUGCAAGCUAGGGAGCAUCAAGGCUCCCACUGCGUGGGCGCCAGCUGACCCCUGACCUCGUUUUCAUCUGUUGCUCUGGUCAUGGCUCUGAGAUCUGGGCAACCUGAGCCAGCUUGUGCAUUCCUUACCCUUGUGCUUUUGCACUAUCCAUCCCUGUCCCCUAGAACUCCCUCCAGUACAGUCUGCUCCACCCCAUCCCAUCCCAUCCCAUCCCAUGCCAUCCCAUCCCCUCACCUCACUCCAUCCUACCCCAUCCUACCACAUCCCACCCCAUCCCAUUCCAUCCCAGCCCACACCACCCCACCCCACCCCACCCCAUCCCACCUCACCCCAUCCCAUUGCCUCAUCCCACCCCAUCCCAUCACAUCUCACCUUACC